rnacentral:rRNA from 1 species
UACGUAGGGUGCGAGCGUUAAUCGGAAUUACUGGGCGUAAAGCGUGCGCAGGCGGGCUUUUAAGCCAGACGUGAAAUCCCCGGGCUCAACCUGGGAAUGGCGUUUGGGACUGGAAGCCUGGAGUGCGGCAGAGGAGACUGGAAUUCCUGGUGUAGCAGUGAAAUGCGUAGAGAUGUGGAGGAACACCGAUGGCGAAGGCAGCCCCCUGGGCUAACACUGACGCUCAGGCACGAAAGCGUGGGGAGCAAACAGG